CUCCAUGUGCAGAACAUGUGCAGGGGUGGGUUUCCUCCUCUCUGAUUUUGAUUGACAAGCUGGCAGGGUAGUCUGAUUGGCAACUGAGAACUGAGUCUGAUUGGCAACUGAGUAAAGGACAAAGGUUAUUGGUGGAUCGCUACACAGCACAUGCAGAGUCACAUGCAGUGUAUCUCAGUCGGCUACCCUUGAAAUUAACUGAGUUCAUUCACCUCCGACAUCACAGGCUCUGCAAUGUGACUAUCGCACACAUGUAUAUCGUGCAGGCCUACAAGAGAGAAAAAUAACAUACAUUUUUCUGCGGUAGGCUCGGGUCCGUAUUGGACUCUUUCCUGGUCCGGAAGUGGACCGCGGUCUGCCAUACGGAGACCACUGCUUUAGACUAUGUGUUUGUAGAGAAAUUAUUUUUGGAGGUUCAGUUGGGAAUUACAGUAGGUAUGGUGAAGGGUUAUACAAAACGAGUUUUGCAUAUUAAGAAGGAAUAGGAAAGGGAGGGAAUAGAGUGAAAUGUAUCUAAAGGAGUAAGGUUAGGGUGCUUUAGUACAAAGUGUCAGAGGAUGGGGAAGGGAGAAGCAGGUGGUCGGGACUGCAAUCAUUCUGCUUAGGGUUAGUGUUGAGGCUAGGGUUAGGGUAAGGGUUGUGGUUGAGGCUAGGGUUAGGGUGAGUGUUAGAGUUACGUUUGAGGCUAGGGUUAGGGUUAGGGUUAGGGAGAUAUUUGAGGCCAGGGUUAGGGUUAGGGUUGUGGCUGAGGCUAGGGUUAGGGUUAGGGUUAGGGUUAGGGUUACGUUUGAGGCUAGGGUUAGGGGUAGAGUGAUGUUUGAGGCUAGAGUUAGGGUUAGGGUUGUGGUUGAGGCUAGGGUUAGGAUUAGGGUUAGGGUUAUGUUUGAGGCUAGGGUUAGGGUUAGGGUUGUGGUUGAGGCUAGGGUUAGGGUUAGGGUUAGAGAGAUAUUUGAGGCUAGGGUUAGGGUUAGGGUUCUCAUGAGGCUAGGGUUAGGGUUAGGGUUAGGGUUGUGGUUUAGGCUAGGGUUAGGGUUAAGGUUAGAGUGAUGUUUGAGGCUAGGGUUAGGGUUAAGGUUGAGGAUAGGGUUAGGGUUGUGGCUGAGGCUAGAGUUAGGGUUAGGGUCAGUUUGAGGCUAGGGUUAGGGUUAGGGUUAGAGUGAUGUUUGAGGCUAGGGUUAGGGUUAGGGUUAGGGUUGUGGUUGAGGCUAGGGUUAGGGUUAGGGUUAGGGUUACGUUUGAGGCUAGGGUUAGGGUUAGGGUUAGAGUGAUGUUUGAGGCUAGGGUUAGGCUUAGGGUUAGGGUUAUGGUUGAGGCUAGGGUUAGGGUUAGGGUUAGGGUUGUGGUUGAGGCUAGGGUUAGGGUAAGAGUGUUGUUUGAGGUUAGGGUAAGGGUUAUGGUUGAGGCUAGGGUUAGGGUUAGGGUUGUGGCUGAGGCUAGGGUUAGGGUUAGGGUUAGGGUUACGUUUGAGGCUAGGGUUAGGGUUAGGGUUAGAGUGAUGUUUGAGGCUAGGGUUAGGGUUAGGGUUAGAGAGAUAUUUGAGGCUAGGGUUAGGGUUAGGGUUGUGGUUGAGGCUAGGGUUAGGGUUAGGGUUGUGGUUGAGGCUAGGGUUAGGCUUAGGGUUAGGGUUAUGGUUGAGGCUAGGGUUAGGGUUAGGGUUAGGGUUGUGGUUGAGGCUAGGGUUAGGGUUAGGGUUAUGGUUGAGGCUAGGGUUAGGGUUAGGGUUAGGGUUGUGGUUGAGGCUAGGGUUAGGGUUAGGAUUGUGGCUGAGGCUUGGGUUAGGGUUAGGGUUAGGGUUGUGGUUGAGGCUAGGGUUAGGGUUAGGGUUAGGGUUGUGGCUGAGGCUAGGGUUAGGGUUAGGGUUAGAGUUUUGUUUGAGGCUAGGGUUAGGAUUAGGGUUAGCGUGAUGUUUGAGGCUAGGGCUAGGGUUAAGGUUAGGGCUGUGGUUGAGGCUAGGGUUAGGGUUAGGGUUAGGGUUAUCGUUGAGGCUAGGGUUAGGGUUUGGGUUAGGGUUGAGGCUAGGGUUAGGGUUAGGGUUACGUUUGAGGCUAGGGUUAGGGUUACGUGUGAGGAUAGGGUUAGGGUUAGGGGUAGUCUUGUUGUUGAGGCUAGAGUUAGGGUUGUGGUUGAGGCUAGGGUUAGGGUUGGGGUUAGAGAGAUAUUUGAGGCCAGGGUUAGGGUUGUGGCUGAGGCUAGGGUUAGGGUUAGGGUUACGUUUGAGGCUAGGGUUAGGGUUAGGGUUAGAGUGAUGUUUGAGGCUAGGGUUAGGGUUAGGGUUAGAGAGAUAUUUGAUGCUAGGGUUAGGGUUAGGGUUGGGGUUGUGGUUUAGGCUAGGGUUAGGGUUAGGGUUAGGGUUGUGGUUGAGGCUCGGGUUAGGGUUAGGGUUAUGGCUGAGGCUAGGGUUAGGGUUAGGGUUAGGGUUGUGGCUGAGGCUAGGGUUAGGGUUAGGGUUAGGGUUGUGGCUGAGGCUAGGGUUAGGGUUAGGGUUAGAGUUUUGUUUGAGGCUAGGGUUAGGGUUAGGGUUAGAGUGAUGUUUGAGUCUAGGGCUAGGGUUAGGGUUAGGGUUGUGGUUGAGGCUAGGGUUAGGGUUAGGGUUAGGGUUCUCGUUGAGGCUAGGGUUAGGGUUAGGGUUAGGGUUGUGGCUGAGGCUAGGGUUAGGGUUAGGGAUAGGGUUAUCGUUGAGGGUAGGGUUAGGGUUAGGGUUAGGGUUGUGGCUGAGGCUAGGGCUAGGGUUAGGGUUAGGGUUAUGGUGAUUUUUGAGGCUAGGGUUAGGGUUAGGGUCACGGUUGUGGUUGAGGCUAGGGUUAGGGUUAGGGUGAGAGAGCUUUUCGAGGCUAGGCUUAGGGUUAGGGUUAUGGUUAUGGUUGAGGCUAGGGUUAGGGUUAGCGUUAUGGUUGAGGCUAGGGUUAGGGUUUUGGCUGAGGCUAGGGUUAGGGUUACGUUUGAGGCUAGGGUUAGGGUUAGGGUUGUGGUUGAGGCUAAGGUUAGGGUUAGGGUUAGGGUUAUGGUUGAGGCUAGGGUUAGGGUUAGGGUUGUGGUUGAGGCUAGGGUUAGGGUUAGGGUUAGGGUUAUGGUUGAGGCUAAGGUUAGGGUUAGGGUUGUGGCUGAGCCUAGGGUUAGGGUUAGGGUUAGGGUUAGGGUUUUGGCUGAGGCUAGGGUUAGGGUUAGGGUUAGAGUUAUGUAUGAGGCUAGGGUUAGGGUUAGGGUUAGAGUGAUGUUUGAGGCCAGGGCUAGGGUUAGGGUUAGGGUUGUGAUUGAGGCUAGGGUUAGGGUUAGGGUUAGGGUUGUGGUUGAGGCCAGGGUUAGGGUUAGGGUUAGGGUUGUGGUUGAGGCUAGGGUUAGGGUUGGGGUUAGGGUUACGGUUGAGGCUAGGGUUAGGGUUAGGGUUAGGGUUGUGGUUGAGGCUAGGGUUAGGGUUAGGGUUAGGGUUAUGGUUGAGGCUAGGGUUAGGGUUAGGGUUACGGUUAUGGCUGAGGCUAGGGUUAGGGUUAGGGUUAGGGUUGUGGCUGAGGCCAGGGUUAGGGUUAGGGUUAGGGUUAGGGUUAGAGAGAUAUUUGGGGCUAGGGUUAGUGUUAGGGUUGUGGUUGAGGCUAGGGUUAGGGUUAGGGUUAGGGUUAGAGUUAUGUUUGAGGCUAGGGUUAGGGUUAGAGUGAUGUUUGAGGCCAGGGCUAGGGUUAGGGUUAGGGUUGUGGUUGAGGGUAGGGUUAGGGUUAGGGUUAGGGUUAUUGUUGAGGCUAGGGUUAGGGUUACGGUUGUGGCUAGGGUUAGGGUUAGGGUUAGGAUUAUGGUGAUUUUUGAGGCUAGGGUUAGGGUUAGGGUUAGAGUGACGUUUGAGGCUAGGGUUAGGGUUAGGGUUGUGGUUGAGGCUAGGGCUAGGGUUAGAGUUAGAGUUAUGUUUGAGGCUAGGGUUAGGGUUAGGGUUAUAGUGAUGUUUGAGGACAGGGCUAGGGUUAGGGUUAGUGUUGUGGUUGAGGCUAGGGUUAGGGCUAGGGUUAUUGUUGAGGCUAGGGUUAGGGUUACAGUUGUGGCUAGGGUUAGGGUUAGGGUUAGGGUUAGGGUUGUGGUUGAGGCUAGGGUUAGGGUUAGGGUUAGAGUGAUGUUUGAGGCUAGGGUUAGGGUUAGGGUUAGGGUUGUGGUUGAGGCUAGGGUUAGGGUUAGGGUUAGGGUUCGAGAGAUAUUUGGGGCUAGGGUUAGGGUUAGGGUUAGGGUUGUGAUUGAGGCUAGGGUUAGGGUUGUGGUUGAGGCCAGGGUUAGGGUUAGGGUUAGGGUUAGGGUUGUGGUUGAGGCUAGGGUUAGGGUUAGGGUAAGGGUUACGGUUGAGGCUAGGGUUAGGGUAAGGGUUAGGGUUAGGGUUAUGGUUGAGGCUAGGGUUAGGGUUACGGUUGAGGCUGAGGCUAGGGUUAGGGUUAGGGUUAGGGUUGUGGCUGAGGCCAGGGUUAGGGUUAGUGUUAGGGUUAGAGAGAUAUUUGGGGCUAGGGUUAGGGUUAGGGUUGUGACUGAGGCUAGGGUUAGGGUUAGGGUUAGGGUUGUGGUUGAGGCUAGGGUUAGGGUUAGGGUUGUGGUUGAGGCUAGGGUUAGGGUUAGGGUUAUGGUUGAGGCUAGGGUUAGGGUUAGUUUUAGGGUUGUGGUUGAGGCUAGGGUUAGGGUUAGGGUUAGAGUUAUGUUUGAGGCUAGGGUUAGGGUUAGGGUUAGGGUUGUGGCUGAGGCUAGGGUUAGGGUUAGGGUUAGGGUUAUUGUUGAGGCUAGGGUUAGGGUUACGGUUGUGGCUAGGGUUAGGGUUAGGGUUAGGGUUAUGGUGAUUUUUGAGGCUAGGGUUAGGGUUAGGGUUAGAGUGAUGUUUGAGGCUAGGGUUAGGGUUAGGGUUAGGGUUGUGGUUGAGGCUAGGGUUAGGGUUAGGGUUAGGGUUGUGGUUGAGGCUAGGGUCAGGGUUAGGGUUAGGGUUAUGGUUGAGGCUAGGGUUAGGGUUAGGGUUGUGGUUGAGGCUAGGGUUAGGGUUAGGGUUAGAGUUAUGUUUGAGGCUAGGGUUAGGGUUAGAGUGAUGUUUGAGGCCAGGGCUAGGGUUAGGGUUAGGGUUGUGGUUUAGGCUAGGGUUAGGGUUAGGGUUAGGGUUAUUGUUGAGGCUAGGGUUAGGGUUACGGUUGUGGCUAGGGUUAGGGUUAGGGUUAGGGUUAUGGUGAUUUUUGAGGCUAGGGUUAGGGUUAGGGUUAGAGUGAUGUUUGAGGCUAGGAUUAGGGUUAGGGUUAGGGUUGUGGUUGAGGCUAGGGUUAGGGUUAGGGUUAGGGUUAGAGAGAUAUUUGGGGCUAGGGUUAGGGUUAGGGUUAUGGUUGAGGCUAGGGUUAGGGUUAGGGUUAGGGUUGUGGCUGAGGCUUGGGUUAGGGUUAGGGUUAGGGUUGUGGUUGAGGCUAGGGUUAGGGUUAGGGUUAGGGUUAUGUUUUAGGCUAGAGUUA
rnacentral:lncRNA from 1 species